CAGCAGCCGCGGGAAUACGUAGGUGGCGAGCGUUGUCCGGAUUUAUUGGGCGUAAAGCGAGCGCAGGCGGUUAGAUAAGUCUGAAGUUAAAGGCUGUGGCUUAACCAUAGUACGCUUUGGAAACUGUUUAACUUGAGUGCAAGAGGGGAGAGUGGAAUUCCAUGUGUAGCGGUGAAAUGCGUAGAUAUAUGGAGGAACACCGGUGGCGAAAGCGGCUCUCUGGCUUGUAACUGACGCUGAGGCUCGAAAGCGUGGGGAGCAAACAGGAUUAGAUACCCCCGUAGUCCCUGUCUCUUAUACA
rnacentral:rRNA from 1 species